UCACCCCUCUUCACUUUGCCAAGAAGACAUGUGUCUUUAUUGGUCAUUCAAGUGGGGUAGAGUAAAAUUUCCUUUUUUUAAAAGCCCAGGUAUUUUAUAUUUUAUUUGGGUUUCUAUCACUAGGGACAUUA